rnacentral:rRNA from 1 species
GACGAACGCUGGCGGCGUGCUUAACACAUGCAAGUCGAACGCAGUGGCGAACGGGUGAGUAACGCGUAAUCACCCUGCCCUUCAGCGGGGGACAACAGUUGGAAACGACUGAUAAUACCGCAUACUGAAGGUGGGGCUUGCGUCGGAUUAGCUAGUUGGAGGGGUAACGGCCCACCAAGGCGAUGAUCCAUAGCUGGUCUGAGAGGAUGACCAGCCACACUGGGACUGAGACACGGUCCAGACUCCUACGGGAGGCAGCAGUAGGGAAUAUUGCACAAUGGGCGCAAGCCUGAUAGAGCCAUGCCGCGUGUAUGAAGAAGGCCUUCGGGUUGUAAAGUACUUUCAGCAGGGAGCGUUACUCGCAGAAGAAGCACCGGCUAACUCCGUGCCAGCAGCCGCGGUAAUAC